rnacentral:lncRNA from 7 species
CAUGUCUGAAUGGUUGAAUUGUGCCUCUGCAACCUUUUUCCAUAAGGAGGGUGAAUUUACUGUGAGUCUUUCUUAGCUGCAGUACUGAUUUGGGAUCUCUUGAAUGUGUAGUAAAUUCGCAGAGAGCAACUUAAAACUAGCAUUACAAAGUACUAACGUUUAAGCAAUCUCUGUCCACAAACACAAAAAUCUGAAGGUACUACAUUAACUGAGAUUGCACAUUAAUGUUUCCUGAAUAAGAUUAGCUGCAGUAAAUUCUGCAAACUACAGACCUCUUGUAAAAUGCAUUUUUUUAGUGAACUUAGAAGAGCACAACGUUACUCAUCAGAAACCACGACCACUCACCUAGCAGAACUACAUGACACAAUUCACAAAUUUGUAUGGAAAAGAAGCUGGUCUUGGUUUGCAAAUAUUAAUUUAUCUAAGGCCUAAAACAAACUCGAAUCCGAUAGAUCUAAAAGCUAAGCAUUCAGUUAAUUUUGCAAACCCAUCAGUGAUCAACCUACCUAGACACUUUAUCAUCCUGCAUUUACUUAAAGAUGCCGGCUUGCCUGUUUUGUAUGUAUCCAUUUGUUCCACUGUGUUUGUGCGCGCGGUAGUGCUACAUAAUACUUUGAGUUAUACACUUAUACUGCUAUAUUUGCUUUGAGCCUUUGAGACUUUUGUUCCAGCUCAGAUAAUUUCUCCUAUUCUUUGUUCUGUAUUGGAUCUCCUGUCUUAGUGUUGCAUUCACUUGCUAAACCAACCAAAUUGCUCACUGCAAUCAAAAUG